GGUCUUAUGGUCUAGUGGUAUGAUUCUCGCUUAGGGUUUACCCUGAGUUACAAAACUUCUAAGUUGCGAGAGGCCCCGCGUUCGAAUCGCGGUAAGACCC